rnacentral:lncRNA from 1 species
UUUUUUUUUCUUUCUUUCGCCUCAUGUCGCCGCCGGCACUUAUCAACAAGGGGCGGCGUUGCCGCCCCUUAGACUCUGCGGUUGAGGCCGCCGCUGUCCAACAGCGGCGGCUUCCUGCCGCCCGCAGCGAGCAGCAGCGAGCGGCUGCUCGGACAUCACUAGCAGCGGCGCUUGCCGCUGCCCAUAGCGGCGAGCGCCGCUGCCGAGCCGCAGUCCUGCCGGCGGCAACGAUUGCCGCCGGAUCCUCAAGAAUUUUUUUUUUUUUUUUUUAAUUCCGAAAUCAGAUUUCAAAAUUUAUGAAAAUCGAAUUUUCAUUAAUUGCUAGGAACAAGAAAAAUAUAACAAUCAACCAUUGACUGUUCAAUCAUGCAAAUCAAUUCCUAACAAACACAAAGUAGGCUCUGAUACCACUGUUGGGAAUCUACUUAUACAUGCACAGCGGAAUUUAAAAUAUAUUUCGAUUCCCAUCCAAUAGAUCUCAUUGUAUUUGGUUAGGAAUUGUGAUAGGAUUGUACCUUUUCCAGAUCUGCAAUCCUUUUGCUUUUCUUUUCGUUCCACAACUUUGAUUCGCCACCACAGCUGUCUAAUUGUCCAGCCUCCAACGGUGAUCCACACAGAGAAUUUGAUUGCAGCCUCUAGGGUUUUCUCUUGUGCUAGCAAGAAUAAUGAAAACC